rnacentral:rRNA from 1 species
CCUACGGGAGGCAGCAGUGGGGAAUUUUGGACAAUGGGCGCAAGCCUGAUCCAGCCAUGCCGCGUGUGGGAAGAAGGCCUUCGGGUUGUAAACCACUUUUGUCAGGGAAGAAACGGCCUUUACUAAUAUUAGGGGCUAAUGACGGUACCUGAAGAAUAAGCGACCGGCUAACUACGUGCCAGCAGCCGCGGUAAUACGUAGGGUGCAAGCGUUAAUCGGAAUUACUGGGCGUAAAGCGUGCGCAGGCGGCUUUGCAAGACAGAUGUGAAAUCCCCGGGCUCAACCUGGGAACUGCAUUUGUGACUGCAUGGCUAGAGUACGGUAGAGGGGGAUGGAAUUCCGCGUGUAGCAGUGAAAUGCGUAGAUAUGCGGAGGAACACCGAUGGCGAAGGCAAUCCCCUGGACCUGUACUGACGCUCAUGCACGAAAGCGUGGGGAGCAAACAGGAUUAGAUACCCUGGUAGUCCACGCCCUAAACGAUGUCAACUGGUUGUUGGACGGCUUGCUGUUCAGUAACGAAGCUAACGCGUGAAGUUGACCGCCUGGGGAGUACGGCCGCAAGGUUGAAAACUCAAAUGAAUUGACGGNUGAAGAGNGCGAGNGACGAGAGGGAGAGG